AUCUAUAGCUCAGCUGGUUAGAGAGUGGUGCUGAUAACGCCAAGGUUGCAGGUUCAAUCCCCGUGUGGGACA
rnacentral:tRNA from 1 species